GACGAACGCUGGCGGCGUGCUUAACACAUGCAAGUCGAGCGGUAAGGCCCUUUCGGGGGUACACGAGCGGCGAACGGGUGAGUAACACGUGGGUGACCUGCCUUUAGCUCUGGGAUAAGCCUGGGAAACUGGGUCUAAUACUGGAUAUGACUCCAUGACGCAUGUUGUGGGGUGGAAAGCCUUGUGCGGCUGAGGAUGGGCCCGCGGCCUAUCAGCUUGUUGGUGGGGUGAGGCCUACCAAGGCGACGACGGGUAGCCGGCCUGAGAGGGCGACCGGCCACACUGGGACUGAGACACGGCCCAGACUCCUACGGGAGGCAGCAGUGGGGAAUCUUGCGCAAUGGGCGAAAGCCCUGACGCAGCGACGCCGCGUGAGGGAUGACGGCCU
rnacentral:rRNA from 1 species